rnacentral:rRNA from 1 species
UACGUAGGGGGCAAGCGUUGUCCGGAAUCAUUGGGCGUAAAGAGCGUGUAGGCGGCCCGAUAAGUCCGCCGUGAAAGUCCAGGGCUCAACCCUGGGAUGCCGGUGGAAACUGUCGGGCUAGAGUCCGGAAGAGGCGAGUGGAAUUCCUGGUGUAGCGGUGAAAUGCGCAGAUAUCAGGAGGAACACCGGUGGCGAAGGCGCCACUCUGGGCCGAAACUGACGCUGAGGAGCGAAAGCGUGGGUAGCAAACAGG